AGGAGGAGGAGGAGGAGGAGGAGGAGGAGAAGUGAAACAAAACAAAUAAAUAUUUAGUUUUAGAAUCCUAAUAAAGCAUAAGAGAAUUCUUUGAUACAUGAGGAAUUAAUAACAUCUACUAUGUGUCAGGUGGUUAUAUGUACUUACGGAAGAACACUGGACAAAAACUUUUUUUUCUUUUGAGGCUGCAUCUCAUGUAGCCCAGAUUGGCCUUUAACUCAUUCUGUAGCCUUGAACCUCUGGUCUUCCUGCUUCUACUCCCAAAGUGCUGGAUUAUAGGUGUGUACCACCAUGCCCACUUGAGAAACCACUUUCUAGAUGAGCUCUGUAGAGUCACAGGUGGGAACUGAGCAGGAGAAGCCCAGGCACAGGUGAGCCAGGCAGACACACCUGCAAUCCCAGCAUUUGGGAAGCUGGAGAUUCAGGAUAAAGGUUGAAUGAACAGUUUAAAGACAUCCUGGACUAAACUCUGGACUUUGUUGUUGUUUUGUUUUGUUUUGUUUGUUUGUGUUUGUUUUGUUGUUUUUGUUUGACUUUCAAGACUGGGUGUGUAGCUCUGGCUAUCCUGGAGCUCAGGAUGUUGACCAGGCUGGCAGCUGGCUGGGAUUAAAGGCGUGCACCACCACUGCCUGGCUGUAAGCAGAGAUUUUUAGAAUAGUUCUUACUAUGUAGCUGACCCUUUUGCCAAAUACAUGGGAUUGCGGCAGGGAGGAAAGAGAAGAAAGAAAAGGGGCACAAGCAAUUUGAGAGUUGUAGUGAACACUUACCCAGCAUGGUGGCAUAAGCCUAUAAUUCAAAUAUUGUAGAAUAUGGAGGAAGGAAAUUUUAGUAGUUCAGGGUCAUCUUCAGUUACAUAGUUAGUUCAAGGCCAGCUGUCUUACACGAGACCCUGACUC
rnacentral:lncRNA from 1 species